ensembl:lncRNA
GAAACAUUUGCAUGUAAUUAUUUCUACCCCGUUUCCAACCCCAUCAUUGGCCACAGAUGUAGUUUCAGACCAGUCACAAGCCACUGCAUCUCCUCCUUUGGCAUCUGUCUGCUUCCGUGCAGUUCCGCAGGUCCUUCCUUGCCUUUUAGAACCCCACACAAAGUCUGCAAGCUCCCUCAAGCUGUAGGGAAAAGUCACAUCUAACAGAUUUUUACCCACCUUACUCUUCUUUCCUCUCCCAAGUCUACCACCACAGGGACUGAGGCAAACAGCCCCAAUCUCUCUUCAAGAAGCAGGAGAGCAGCACCGCUCCUGCAAGCCUUGGUCCCAACUGUGCAAACAUCAUUUCUGCAUUCCUCUCACCUGCUGCUCUCAUAGAACAUCAUCUGACAUCAUGUAUGAGUUCAGCUUGGCUGCUACUGCCAGAAGGGAGGCUUUUCCUACAGUAAAAACUGACAUUUGGGUUGCCACCAGGAGGGAGGCCUGCUAGGCUGUCAUGAGUCUCACAGAGUUACAAACACUGAAUAUUAGCAGGCAUGUGAUGCCUAGAAUCAUGAGUAGGUCUUCAACUGCAUGUCCAGAUGGAGGAUGAGGACAUGAGAAGGUGGCAGUAAACAUUCCAUUAAUUUUCAGAGUACUGCAUCUCCUAAUUACGUGUAUAAUUAAUAGAUCAGUAUUCUGAAUGUAAGCUAGGACUAGCUAAUCAAGCAUGUUUAUUUCUAUAUCUCAGUGAAAAUUGCUGAAAGCAAUAUUAUUCACAGACUUUAGCAAACACAGCAAUGCCUUGUUUGUUUGUUUUUCUUUCUAAGUGUCAUAUAGAACUGUAACAUUAUUUUACUGAAAAUAACUUUACAGUAAUGAGCAAACAGAAACCAACUAUUCACAAAGCUAUUUACCUUCAGUUCUCAGCACAAAUUCCUAAAACGAGCUUGCAAUGUCAAAUUGAUCUCAAAUUUUAGGUAAUUUUACCUAAGAGAAGCAAUUACCCACAAAAGACACCUCUUAAGAAUCCCAAAAUGUUUCAAGGAAGAAAGACUACACAUCAGUGUGCUAUUAUUCAAGAGACAGUGCUAUGAUUUGUGUCUUUCAGUUUCACUGGUGAAGGUGGGAAGUGACAAGGAAAUGCAACAUAAGAGGUUUGAAAGCAUCAUUGAAAUAAAAAGCCUACAGAAAAAUGUUAAUUUAUUAAGUGUACCACACCACUAUAUAGUUUCCAUCAAAAAGCAGAAGAAAAUGCCACCUACAAGCACGUGUUUGGGGUUCUUCCACAGAAAGGUGCAUGCCGCUCCAGCAGCACUCACAAGCAACAAGCUGAAUCGUCAGCUAUGGGCUGAAAGCAUUGGGCUUGCCUAGGAACAGCCCUGCAAAAUAUAUUAGCAGCUUCCCGAUUCAGGGACGAUUUUCUGCUAUGCUUCUGCAUCUGCUUAAAAUUUAACUCAUUUGUAAUCGUUCUCUGGGGACUAUUAUACUGGGUAAAUGCAGUGAAAAUAUUCUCUCCCUUAAUGCUAGCAGUGAUUUGCAAUCAAGUGCAGCUGUGUAAUGUCUGCUGGAGGGUUAAUAACAGCUGAUGAUGAGUCCCAGAAAUUCCUAGUGGAGCAAUUCAGUUUUUUGCUGCCAUCUGGCCUCCUGAACCCACUGUUUGUCCCAGCAAGGAGGUACCUCUCCAGUCCAGUGUGGGAGCAGCAGGAAACCCAGCCUUUCUGGUUGUUCAGCAAGGAACGGGAAAGGGAAAGAAAGGGAACUCCAUGUUUUUCCUUGUAGCUGUUCCAUGCUGCGCAGUUAGGGCUGGGCUACAGGGGCUGGUGGGAAGAGCCAGACAAGGGUUCAAAACUUUCAGUGGGAAAAGGGGAGCAUGUCCUUUUCUACUCCUCAAAAUGGUUAUGAGGGAGGAAAAAGGGAAAAGAGAAAAAAAGAGAAAAAAAGAGAAAAAAAAAUUAAUUACAUCUAUCAGAUAUCCCAACGAAGCUUUUUUGGGGGUAUGAUCUCAGAGGAGGAUGGUCUAUUAUUAGCUAUUCUGCAGUACCAUAGAAUCAUUGAACAGCCCAGGUUGGAAGGGAGCUCAGAAAAUCACCAGGUCCAACCUUAUGUGGGAGAAGGGAGCCUAGGUGAGGCUAUCUAGCACCCUGUCCAAGUGCAUCUUGAGAACCUCCAGUAAUGGGAGGCCUCACAUCUCUGCAGAGGUUGUUCCCAUCAACUGCACUCACUGCAAAAAAAAUUAUUUCUUAGACGAGGAUGAAACAUCCUGGUGGCACUUGUACUCAUUGUCCCUUAUCCUCUCUAUGUGGCCUCUUGUGAAGAGAGAGCCUCUGUCCUCUUUGUAGUCACCAUUUAAAUAUCAAAUACUGUAGUGAGGUUCCCCCUGAGCCCUGGAGGUGAAAAGACUCAACUCUUUCAGACUUUCCUCAUGGGGAAGUUCUCCAGACUUGGAGCACUUUUCUGGCCUUCCUUUGGGCCCUCUCCAGUCUUUCUGAGUCUUCUUUGAAUUGUGAGGACAAGACUUGGACACAGUACUCCACAUGUGCUGAGUACAGCGGGAUGAUCACGUUUCCAUCUGAUAGUAAUGCCUCUGUGGAUGCUGCCCAGGAUCUGAUUUGCCUUCCUUGCUGCAGAAGUACAGUGCUCAUUCAAGUUUGGAGAGGAGCGAUACAAGAGCACUAAACUUUAACAUUUGCAUUUCUAGAGUGACUGCAAAACAGUUUUUUCAAUUCUGCUCACCAUUUGCAACCAGCUCCUGUUCAUCACUAUCACUCCAGAGCCACGGUACGCUGCGUCAGAUUACAGCUUGGGGUGGAGUGUUUGGAAAACGAUUAUGCCGUCCCUUAUCCUCACUUUCAGUUGGAGCAGUUGGGUCACAUUACGCAUGCCAUUUCAUCUUAUCACUUGGCUGCUUGUCCUAAGGCUGUGUUCAUGCAUAAACUGGCCAGAGACUUAAUACUUUGUUUUCUAAAGCAAGAUGUCCUUUUAAAAGGCACAAAGGGGGCUCUCUAAACAGUGGCUUUUGAGACGUUUGUCUAGCUCAUCAAUGGAAAAAUCACAUUUCCUUUAAUACUUGGCAAUGGGCAGCUCAGUAUCCUGGGCACAGGAGAAAAUCCAGAUCACAUUCAGUAGGACAGGCUCACAAACACGACAAUUUAAAAAUAUUUGGAUUUAAAAGCAUUUAUGUCUUCCAUCAACUUUUCACUGAAGCACGGUUUUAACGCAGUCUUUCAGGAACAUUUCUUAACUGAACGGGACAAAAAUGAACAGAAGCAUACUUGUUGGGAACAGCUAACACAGGGAGCUGGUUCUUUCUGAGCACUUUUUUAGUGCAGUGCUACUGUAAGAAGGGUAGCUGUGAUGGCAGUGCCAAUUAACACAGUGAGACCCUAGUAUGGCUCCUGCGUGAACCAUCUGCUUCCUUUGCCUGCACCACACAAGGGAGAGAUGCAGAUAGUCGUAACCCUAACAUGAAAAUUCACAUGUUCCUACAGGGUAUUCAGGUAGACAUGAACUAGCAAGCAUGGCUACAGAAAGAAGAUGAGCCAAGAGCUUUGUGAAGCUGGGUUUAGUUGGUGAUGUUCAUUUGCUCAUUCUCUUCACUGCAGUUUGUUCAUUUGUUCAGUGCUGUCCAUGUGUUCAUUUCAUCAAUGCUUGCUGAAAAGGGUUCAUAAACUGUAAUUCUCCUUUGGCCUUCAGGUUUAAAUGAAACUUACCCCGAAUCUCAUUUUUUCCUCGUGGGUUUGUUGUUGUCGUUGUUGUUUUUGUUUUGGCUUACCCUAGCCUAUUUGUUUUCAUAUAUUUUCCAAGUAGGUGGGUAUUUUAUUCAACCCAGAUUUAUUCAAAAUUUCCUUCUGGCCUGUUUUAAAUUCAAUCCAGACUCACAGGAAGAUCUGCAAACCUCAUUUGAGUUGCAGGUCAGCUCUGACACACUGCACUUCCCCAAGUACCCCUCCUGAAAACAAUUAGACUAAUGUUGUUAAACAAGAAUAAAAUAUAAUUAACAGAAGUGUUGUUGAUUGCCACAAUGUUGCCGCUUUAUUUGUUUAAAAUACCAUAAAAUCCAUCCCAGAAAAAAAAUACUGAGCAG